AAACUAUAUAUAAUUUUGUUUUGAAAACAAAAUUAAAGAUUAUUUCUUGUAGUUUUU
rnacentral:tRNA from 1 species